GGUCGGGUGUGUAAGCGCAGCGAUGCGUUGAGCUAACCGAUACUAAUGAACCGUGAGGCUUAACCUUACAACGCCGAAGC
rnacentral:rRNA from 1 species